UACGAAGGGGGCUAGCGUUGCUCGGAAUUACUGGGCGUAAAGCGCACGUAGGCGGUCUUUUAAGUCGGGGGUGAAAUCCUGGAGCUCAACUCCAGAACUGCCUUCGAUACUGGAAGACUUGAGUCCGGGAGAGGUGAGUGGAACUGCGAGUGUAGAGGUGAAAUUCGUAGAUAUUCGCAAGAACACCAGUGGCGAAGGCGGCUCACUGGCCCGGUACUGACGCUGAGGUGCGAAAGCGUGGGGAGCA
rnacentral:rRNA from 1 species